CCUACGGGAGGCAGCAGUAGGGAAUAUUGCUCAAUGGGGGAAACCCUGAAGCAGCAACGCCGCGUGGAGGAUGAAGGUUUUAGGAUUGUAAACUCCUUUUGUUAGAGAAGAUAAUGACGGUAUCUAACGAAUAAGCACCGGCUAACUCCGUGCACGCAGCCGCGGUAAUACGGAGGGUGCAAGCGUUACUCGGAAUCACUGGGCGUAAAGAGCGCGUAGGCGGGAUAGCAAGCCAGAUGUGAAAUCCUAUGGCUUAACCAUAGAACUGCAUUUGAAACUGUUAUUCUGGAGUAUGGGUGAGGUAGGUGGAAUUCUUGGUGUAGGGGUAAAAUCCGUAGAGAUCAAGAGGAAUACUCAUUGCGAAGGCGACCUGCUAGAACAUAACUGACGCUGAUGCGCGAAAGCGUGGGGAGCAAACAGGGUUAGAUACCCUUGUAGUC
rnacentral:rRNA from 1 species